UACGGGGGGGAGCAAGCGUUUGUUCGGAUUCAUUGGGCGUAAAGGGUGCGUAGGCGGCGCGGUAAGUCGGGUGUGAAAUCUCGGAGCUUAACUCCGAAACUGCAUUCGAUACUGCCGUGCUUGAGGACUGGAGAGGAGACUGGAAUUUACGGUGUAGCGGUGAAAUGCGUAGAUAUCGUAAGGAAGACCAGUGGCGAAGGCGGGUCUCUGGACAGUUCCUGACACUGAGGCACGAAGGCCAGGGGGAGCAAACGGGG
rnacentral:rRNA from 1 species